rnacentral:rRNA from 1 species
ACCCGCUGAACUUAAGCAUAUCAAUAAGCGGAGGAAAAGAAACCAACAGGGAUUGCCCUAGUAACGGCGAGUGAAGCGGCAACAGCUCAAAUUUGAAAUCUGGCUCUUUUAGGGUCCGAGUUGUAAUUUGCAGAGGGCGCUUUGGCAUUGGCAGCGGUCCAAGUUCUUUGGAACAGGACGUCACAGAGGGUGAGAAUCCCGUACGUGGUCGCUAGCCUUUGCCGUGUAAAGCCCCUUCGACGAGUCGAGUUGUUUGGGAAUGCAGCUCUAAAUGGGAGGUAAAUUUCUUCUAAAGCUAAAUACUGGCCAGAGACCGAUAGCGCACAAGUAGAGUGAUCGAAAGAUGAAAAGCACUUUGGAAAGAGAGUCAAAUAGCACGUGAAAUUGUUGAAAGGGAAGCGCUUGCAGCCAGACUUGCCUGUAGUUGCUUAUCUGGACUUUUGUCCGGUGCACUCUUCUGCGGGCAGGCCAGCAUCAGUUUGGGCGGUUGGAUAAAGGUCUCUGUCAUGUACCUCUCUUCGGGGAGGCCUUAUAGGGGAGACGACAUGCAACCAGCCUGGACUGAGGUCCGCGCAUCUGCUAGGAUGCUGGCGUAAUGGCUGU